CGAGAGAACUCAGGGGUCUCUCUGGGGAGCUCUAAGGGCUGUGUUCUGAGCAGAAGGAUGAAUUCAAGAACUGCAGGGCUCACCCUUAGAGUCAGAGGUUAGUCACAAAAGAAUGAGAUAAAUUUUGUGAAGUGUCUUCCUUGGCAUUGCCUUAAUCAGAGCUCUUUGGUUUAGAAAGUAGAGACAAUGAUCCAGGUUAAUUUGAACAAAGGGGAGGUUACUGUUGAGGAUAAUUAUGGAGUGAAAAGUAGAUGAAAUCUACAAAGAUUCAAGGGAUGAAGAAACAUGAAGGAUCAUGAGAGACUACUACAAGCAACUAUACAGUAAUAAAAAGGACAACCUGGAAGAAAUGGACAAAUUCUUAGAAAGGUACAAUUUUCCAAGGCUAAAACAGGAACAAAUAGAACAUCUGAACCAAUCACAAGUACUGAAAUUGAAACUGUGAUUUAAAAACUUCCAACAAACAAAAGUCCAGGCUUACAGGCAACUUCUGUCAAAUAUUUAAAGAAGAGCUAACACCUGUCUUUCUCAAACCAUUCUAAAAAAUUGCAAAGUAAGGAAUACUCCCAAGCUCAUUCUAUGAGGCCAGACACUAUAGAAACUGAAACCAGACAAAGGUAUCACACGAAACUAUUAUAGGCCAAUAUUGCUGACUAACAGAUAUGAAAAUCCCUAUGGCAUGAGGAAAAGAGGGAUUUGAUUAUAAAGUCCUUUUACACAUUAUGUAAUAUGAGAUCAUUGAGAUUAAAUAUAUCUUUACUGCAAUAUAUUUGGUUAGUUAAUACUAAAAAUAUUGAUAAGAUGAAUUUGCUUUGAGUUAUACCUAUAGAGAAGCAGCCCACUCCAGUAUUCUUUCCUGGAGAAUCCCAUGGACAGAGGAGCCUGGCAGGCUACAGUCCACGGAGUCACAAAGAGUCAGACAUGACUGAGCAACUGAGCAUUUCUACCUAAUCAAACAGAAUUUACAUUCUCAAAAAAAAAAAAAAGAGGAAGAAGAAUUUAUAUUCUCAUAUCUUCCAAAUGAAAUCAUCAAAUUUAAAUUAGGGAAAUGUAGACUUCCAAAUUAAUAUGUGUCCCCUUUAAGAAAAGAUGGAGUCUAAUAGACAUAGCUAUGAUAAUAUUAAUUAUUGGGUACUUCUUUCUGUUUCAUUUACUCAGACCAAGUUAAUUUGAUAUACCCUUAGGUGAGAUAGCACAAUGUUCCCAGCAAAAUAAACAAUAUUAUCCAGGAGUGGAUAUAAUCCACAGAUACCAUGCAGACAAAAUCAAGAAUGUUAAUGGAAGACUAUCUCUUGCUCUUACAUGACCUUUGGAAUAAUAGUUUCCUUUCCUUAAAAAAAAUGGUUUAUAACCUACAUAUGCAUCACUAUAAAUAGCUGAGGAAAGAAUAAAAGUGAAAAGCAAAGGAGAAAGGAAAGAUAUACCCAGCUGAAUGCAGAGUUUCAGAGACUAGCAAGGAAAGAUAAGAAGAGCAUCUUAAAUGAACAAUGCAAAGAAAUAGAGGAGAGUAACAGAAUGGGAAAGAUUAGAGAUCUCUUUAAGAAAACUGGAGAUAUCAAGGGAACACUUCAUGCAAAGAUGAGCACAAUAAAGGACAGAAAUAGUAAGGACCUAACAGAAGCAGAAAAUAUUAAGAAGAAUACAUAUUCUUGCCACGUAUUAUUGCACAAGAAUACACAAAAGAACUGCACAAAAAAGGUCUUAAUGACAUGGAUAACCACGAUAGUGUGGCCCCUCACCUAGAGCCAGCAUUCUGGAGUGUGAAGUCAAGUGGGCCUUAGGAAGCUUUACUGUGAACAAAGCUAGUGGAGGUGACAGAAUUCCAGUGGAGUUAUUUAAAAUUCUAAAAGAUAAUGCUGUAAAAGUGCUGCACUCAAUAUUCCAGCAAAUUUGGAAAAUUCAGCAGUGGCCAUGGGACUGGAAAGUAUCAGUUUUCAUUCUGAUCCCAAAGAAUUUUCAAACUA
ensembl:lncRNA